CAAUAAUACGUGUUUAAAAAAAAAGUGAGAAUUUUGCCAAAAAAGAAGAAAACAAAAAAAAAUUCCUUUAAAUAUUUUUUCUUGUAUUUUAUUUUGUUUUCAAUUCGUAAUACGAAAUAAAAACCUAAAAUAAGAUAAAAUAAAGAAAACAGCAGCAGGAGGAGUAAGAACUUCCCAAAUUUGCUAAAAACCCACAACUACAAAAAGAGUAACAAAGCCAUCAUAUCUGUUCUCUUUCUUUUACUUUUACACAUAUUUUUUUUGUGAGUGUAAACAUUUUGUCUCCCUUUUUCUUUGUAACUAAAGUCGGGUCAAUUGUUUUAAAACAAACAAAUUCAAUUUACAACUUAUUUAGUGUUUUAUUAAAGUGUUAAAGUCUUAAACUAUUUUGUGGAAAACGUUAAAAAGUAUUACCUUAAAAAGUUAAAGAAAUUUUUCCAACCACAAAAAAAAAAUAAGGUUUAUUUGUUACACCCACGAAAAUUUUGUUGAAGCAAAUAAUAUAAAAAGAAAGGAAAAAAUAUAGUGCAUUAAAUUUGUUUGUGUGUUUAAAACGUGUUUAGCAUUUUUUUUUGUCAACAAAAAAAAAGAAAUAUUUUUUGCUUUAAAGAUAUUUAACAACAAUAAAGAUCGAAAGUUGCUUGGUACAUUCAUACAUAUGGCGCACAUCCUCUGAACGAAUACCCUUGAGUUUGGGAAGUUAAUUCUAAACAACAUACAAUAGAUUAUAUUCUUCUAUUCCUAUUGUUUAGAAACCCUAAAGAGAUAAUUGGGACUCUUAUGCGACGAGUUAACUUUAAAAUAUUCUGAAUUUUGUCACACUCAUUCUUAAAGGGUAUACUUUGCCUUCACGUAAAACUGCUGGGUAGUCACUCGAAUAUACAGAAAAAAAGAGUGUGAUGGUAAUUGUUAAAAUUUAAAACGUCAAACUGGCUUCUCCCAAUAAUACAGCACCGCCCGUGCUUUGGCGCGCGCGUCGUAAAGUGGGUAAGUACUUAAAACAUAAGAAUAGCUUUUUAUAAGUUAUUUUAAGUAAAUUUUCCAACAAAACAAUUUUAAUAACUAUUUAAUGAUUACAAGUUUUAAUGGCUGCCAGGGGAGCCAAACAAAUAGAAAAAGUUCAAUGACCUUUAAAACUGUUUAGUGUUUACUUUUUUUCCUCUUUUUUUAAACGUUUUAUAAAAAAAUAUAAAAAAUUGUAUUGACACUUUGUAUGACCCUCUGUAGUAAUGGGAAAAAGUUAAUAAACUGUUAACUUUUUAAAAAUUUUCCGUUUUUUUUUUUUUUGUUUUCUUACAUACUAUUAACUUUCGGAUAAUGAAAAUCUUCCUAUAAAAUUUUAUUUGUGAAAAAAUAAAACAAACAGCUAAUUUUUGUAUUUUACAUACAGAUAUCAAGUAAAUGUUGUUGUGUUUUCUUGUUUUUCUGAAUUUUAAGAAAGGUUAUUGGCCUUAUGUUUUAUUGUUAAGUGAUAUUUAAUUACUAUUUAUAAAAAUUUUAAUAGAAAUUUUGAGUAAUAAUAAAUAAUUUGACAAAAAAAAAAAAAAAAAACUUCCCAUACUAGUCUUUGGACCUCCCUUUGGGCUGGAAAAUACUACACUAUAGACUAAA